rnacentral:rRNA from 1 species
CUCGUAGGCGGCCAACUAAGUCAGACGUGAAAUCCCUCAGCUUAACUGGGGAACUGCGUCUGAUACUGGAUGGCUUGGAUUCGGGAGAGGAAUGCGGAAUUCCAGGUGUAGCGGUGAAAUGCGUAGAUAUCUGGAGGAACACCGGUGGCGAAGGCGGCAUUCUGGACCGAUAUUGACGCUGAGGAGCGAAAGCCAGGGAGCAACG